UACGUAGGGUGCAAGCGUUGUCCGGAAUUAUUGGGCGUAAAGAGCUUGUAGGCGGUUUGUCGCGUCUGCUGUGAAAUUUCGGGGCUCAACCCCGAACUUGCAGUGGGUACGGGCAGACUAGAGUGUGGUAGGGGAGACUGGAAUUCCUGGUGUAGCGGUGAAAUGCGCAGAUAUCAGGAGGAACAUCGAUGGCGAAGGCAGGUCUCUGGGCCACUACUGACGCUGAGAAGCGAAAGCAUGGGGAGCGAACAGG
rnacentral:rRNA from 1 species